GGAAAAGCCACCGAGAGGCCUGACCCUGAGGGGUCGGGGGGAGAUGCGGGCGCGUAGUAGAGGGAAGCGACUGAGGAGCGGGGACUGGGCAGCAUUUGAAUGGAUGCGGGUGCCGCUGGCACCCGGGAAGACGCCUGGGAGCCGGCGCUGGGGAGCCGGGCAUGGGCUGGGAUGUGUUUGGAUUCCAAUCUGGGCCUGACACCAGUUCAGUGACCUCGGGAAGUUCCCCAACCCUGCGGGCCUGUUUCCUCCCUCUGAAGUGGCGACAGUAAUAGAACCGACCUCGUAGGCUCAUCGGGAGGUCCUGAUGGGAGAACCCAUGCAACUUGCCACCACAGAGCCAGGCCCGCGGCGACUGGCUCCUGGUGGGUAUUAAAGACGAGUCGGGAAAGAAGAGCAGGCUCAAUCAAACCUUCAAUGGCCCCGAAAGACAUCUUGAUUGAAACCUCAUGAGAGACUCUGAGCCAGAAAACCCAGCAACUUAGAACCCAGAUACCUGACCAUCAGCCACUGUGUGAAAUAAUAAAUGUUUGUUGUUUUAAGCUGCUAGUAAUAUGAGUGUCUUGAGAAACAAAGCCAGUCGGGCUGCACUUAAGGCUGGCUUUGUGUUCCCUCCAGCCUUUGUCUUCCCCCAUCAUGACAACUUGUGCUCUUUCUCCCAGGAGGCUGAGGAUGCUGCUCUGAAACCAGCCAGGAGACCUCUGGGAAGAUACCUUGAUUCCAAAGAGUGAAUUUAUUGGAUGGCAGGCAGUGAGUCCUGUGGGUGAUGAGCCAGCAGCAUCCAGUGUCCAGUUACCACCUGCGGGGAAUACGGGGACAGUUGGUGGCAACAGCUGUGGAGGCCCCAUCUGCUCCCUGGACCACAGCCAUGCCAGUGUAACCCAGAACUCUGCAGUGCCAAUGGAAAUCUCCAGGUGCCAUACCUUGCUUCCUGCUCAGGUAGAGGUGGCAGACCCUCUGGACUCAGCCUUACUUCCUCUCCUCUCCCCAUCCAGACACUCCAAGCACCCUGUAAUCACCCAACCUUUGUCUCAAAUCACUUUCUGCUCAAAGUACCUCCAGUGGUUCCUAUGUCCUGCACUGAACUCUGCUGACUCAUACAAUUUUUUUUUUUU
rnacentral:lncRNA from 1 species